UGGGGAAUAUUGGACAAUGGGCGCAAGCCUGAUCCAGCCAUGCCGCGUGGGUGAAGAAGGCCUUCGGGUUGUAAAGCCCUUUUGUCCGGAAAGAAAAGUCCCGGGUUAAUACCCUGGGGUGAUGACGGUACCGGAAGAAUAAGCACCGGCUAACUUCGUGCCAGCAGCCGCGGUAAUACGAAGGGUGCAAGCGUUACUCGGAAUUACUGGGCGUAAAGCGUGCGUAGGUGGUUUGUUAAGUCUGAUGUGAAAGCCCUGGGCUCAACCUGGGAAUGGCAUUGGAAACUGGCAGGCUAGAGUGCGGUAGAGGAUGGCGGAAUUCCCGGUGUAGCAGUGAAAUGCGUAGAGAUCGGGAGGAACAUCUGUGGCGAAGGCGGCCAUCUGGACCAGCACUGACACU
rnacentral:rRNA from 1 species